GCGAAAAGCAUAAAUUUAUUUACCUUAGAUUCUGGGUUUCUUAUAAAUAGGAAAUAAAUCCCCGAAUCGUUCUCUUUUGGCUGGUGAAUCUAGAACGGUCUAGAAGUGCGCGCGUGUGUAGCUUUUUAUUAAAUAGAGGUGUUAGUCCGUUAGUAAAAACGGCUGAUUGUAGUACGUCGAAUUAAAAUUGUGUUAGUAAAAGUUAUGAUUGUAAAAAUCCGAUUGUUAAAAGUUAAUUGUUCAAACACAAACAUCGACAAACAAGAAGAAACUAUAAGAAAAAG